GAUGAACGCUGGCGGCGUGCCUAAUACAUGCAAGUCGAACGGGGAGUCGCAAUACUCUUAGUGGCGAACGGGUGAGUAACGCGUUGGUACCUGCCCCGAAGCGGGGGAUAACGGACCGAAAGGUCCGCUAAUACCCCAUGUGCUCGGUAACGAGUAAAGGUGAAAACCACUUUGGGAGGGGCAUGCGUCCCAUCAGCUAGUUGGUAAGGUAACGGCUUACCAAGGCGAUGACGGGUAGGGGACCUGAGAGGGUGGCCCCCCACAAUGGAACUGAAACACGGUCCAUACACCUACGGGUGGCAGCAGUAGGGAAUAUUGGUAAUGGGCGCAAGCCUGAACCAGCAACGCCGCGUGUGCGAUGACGGCCUUCGGGUUGUAAAGCACUUUUGACUGGGACGAGGAAGGACGGUACCGGUCGAAUCAGCCUCGGCUAACUACGUG
rnacentral:rRNA from 1 species